rnacentral:lncRNA from 1 species
GGCAGGGACUGACUCCAGUCCUUGGACUUAGGACACCGCAGCACCUUCUCUUGCGUGCGUGACUCAUUCGUAUAUCAUUUCUGUUUAUGCCUGGGGUGGGGAGAAAAAUCCCAAACCAGCUGUGUAAAUGAGUAUGGAAGAUUAUGAUUUCCUGUUCAAAAUUGUUUUAAUCGGCAACGCUGGAGUGGGAAAGACGUGCCUAGUCCGACGAUUCACUCAGGUCAAGGAGCCACAAUUGGAGUUGAUUUUAUGAUUAAGACAGUGGAGAUUAAUGGUGAGAAAGUGAAGUUACAGAUCUGGGACACAGCAGGUCAAGAGAGAUUUCGCUCCAUCACCCAAAGUUACUACCGAAGCGCCAAUGCCUUGAUCCUUACCUAUGACAUCACCUGUGAGGAAUCCUUCCGCUGCCU